AGAUUGAACGCUGGCGGCAUGCCUUACACAUGCAAGUCGAACGGUAACAGGCCGCAAGGUGCUGACGAGUGGCGAACGGGUGAGUAAUGUAUCGGAACGUGCCCAGUCGUGGGGGAUAACGCAGCGAAAGCUGCGCUAAUACCGCAUACGAUCUAUGGAUGAAAGCGGGGGACCGUAAGGCCUCGCGCGAUUGGAGCGGCCGAUAUCAGAUUAGGUAGUUGGUGGGUAAAGGCUCACCAAGCCAACGAUCUGUAGCUGGUCUGAGAGGACGACCAGCCACACUGGGACUGAGACACGGCCCAGACUCCUACGGGAGGCAGCAGUGGGGAAUUUUGGACAAUGGGCGCAAGCCUGAUCCAGCAAUGCCGCGUGCAGGAAGAAGGCCUUGGGUUGUAAACUAGCUUUUGUACGGUAACGAAACGGUCCGUAGGUUAAUACCUAGGGCGUAAAUGACGGUAACCGUAAGAAGUAAAGCAACCGGACUAACUACGUAGCCAAGCCAGACCGCGGUAAACG
rnacentral:rRNA from 1 species